rnacentral:misc_RNA from 1 species
CUGUUGCAGGGAAUACCAUAACUCAGGAUUUUAUUUAUCAGGUUUUACAUCUACAUGUCUAUGAUUGGUUGGAUCGUCAUGCUUUCCCUCCUGUUGUGCCUAUCGUUUGUUAUAUUUGCCCUUCCUUUGAUAACGAUGUAAAAUACGUCUGAAAAUGAAGGAUCAUUUGUCUUACUAGGUAGUGAUGAAACUGAUACGCC